rnacentral:rRNA from 1 species
AUUGAACGCUGGCGGCAUGCCUUACACAUGCAAGUCGAACGGCAGCACGGGAGCUUGCUCCUGGUGGCGAGUGGCGAACGGGUGAGUAAUACAUCGGAACGUGCCCAGUCGUGGGGGAUAACGUAGCGAAAGCUACGCUAAUACCGCAUACGAUCUCUGGAUGAAAGCGGGGGGACCGCAAGGCCUCGCGCGAUUGGAGCGGCCGAUGGCAGAUUAGGUAGUUGGUGGGGUAAAGGCUCACCAAGCCGACGAUCUGUAGCUGGUCUGAGAGGACGACCAGCCACACUGGGACUGAGACACGGCCCAGACUCCUACGGGAGGCAGCAGUGGGGAAUUUUGGACAAUGGGCGAAAGCCUGAUCCAGCCAUUCCGCGUGCAGGAUGAAGGCCCUCGGGUUGUAAACUGCUUUUGUACGGAACGAAACGGUCCUGGUUAAUACCUGGGGCUAAUGACGGUACUGUAAGAUAAGCACCGGCUAACUACGUGCCAGCAGCCGCGGUAAU